rnacentral:rRNA from 1 species
UACGAAGGGGGCUAGCGUUGCUCGGAAUGACUGGGCGUAAAGGGCGCGUAGGCGGUUUGUACAGUCAGGUGUGAAAUUCCCGGGCUCAACCUGGGGGCUGCGUUUGAUACGUGCAGACUUGAGUUCGGAAGAGGGUCGUGGAAUUCCCAGUGUAGAGGUGAAAUUCGUAGAUAUUGGGAAGAACACCGGUGGCGAAGGCGGCGACCUGGUCCGAUACUGACGCUGAGGCGCGAAAGCGUGGGGAGCAAACAGG